rnacentral:lncRNA from 1 species
GGAUGAACUGAAGCAUAAAAAAAGCAACAGAACAAAGAAGCCAAAGCAGAGAAACGGCACAGACACUGUCCAUUUCAAGUAAGACCCAUCCAAAAUCAGUUUACCCAACUUCUAUUCUACAAAUAUAGGACAGUUGAAACGUGAGAAUAUCCUAUCAAACAUAUAGUAAUAGCCCUUACCUGAAGGAUCAGAACCCAAAUCAUUCAAAAGUACCUCAUAGCAAGACAAAAUAGGUCAGAGCAACAGCAGAGAAACCAUAUCAGUAUGCACCAAUCGCAUGGCAUAAAAUAAGGACUGCAGCUGAGCUUUUCUAGCACCAGUCCGAACUCACAAUAUUCUCCAGGCGGAUAUAUUUUAUAAUCAUCGAGGCAGAGGGAUAUAUCAACCAGUGAUAACAUAUCAGUCACCUUGACAUAAUCUAGACACCCAGCAAUAUCCAGAGUCUUCACAUUGGGACAAAAUAGCUCCAGAUCCUCAUAGUGAUCAACAAUUAAAUGUUUGAUAUCUGAUCGUGUAAGAUCAAGCUUUUCAAGACCACCGCAUCUCUCCAAAUUUGACUCCUCAAUAGAUGGGCCACAACAGAAUUUGGGUUCGUGGAGACCAUAACAAUCUUCAAGAGACUAUUCUUUCAGCAAUGGGCUAUUAGAUAGUAUGUCAGCCAUUUUGUAGUCAAUGAAGUCAAUUUUUUUCAUAAACAAUUUUCUAUGCGACCUUAGUUGUACUCGUCCCGCCGCUGGUCUGACCACACAGGAAGCCAGCUUCAGCUCUACUAAGCUGCUACACCUAAG